rnacentral:lncRNA from 1 species
CUUCCUUUUUGCUGUAUUUUUUUUCAUGUACUCACUCUCUUCCACAGACAGACUGCGGAACUGCCCAUGAGGCCAAGCACCUAUUAGUAGACCAAGAAGCAUCACCCAUCCAUGGCCUAAGUCGGCAGCCAGCUAUUGUUCUCAUCUGAGUCUGGGAGUUCAGGAUUUCCAUCCUGACCCGGCUACUUUCUUUCAACAGUUACCCACUGUAAAUUUCCGAAUACUUUCAGCUACUAAUCCCAGUGUACCCAAUUAAAAAUGGCUUUCCUAAUAAAGGCA